AUACGGAGAGUGCAAGCGUUGUCCGGAUUUAUUGGGUUUAAAGGGUGCGUAGGUGGUUUUUUAAGUCAGUGGUGAAAGCCUACAGCUUAACUGUAGAGGUGCCAUUGAAACUGGGGGACUUGAGUAUGGACGAGGUAGGCGGAAUUUGUGGUGUAGCGGUGAAAUGCAUAGAUACCACAAAGAACACCGAUAGCGAAGGCAGCUUACUAGGCCAUAACUGACACUGAGGCACGAAAGUGUGGGGAGCGAACAGGAUUAGAUACCCUAGUAGUCC
rnacentral:rRNA from 1 species